GUCUUCUUAACUCAGUGGUAGAGUAUUUGCUUGGUAAGUAAAAAGUCAUCGGUUCAAAUCCGAUAGAAGGCU
rnacentral:tRNA from 1 species